rnacentral:tRNA from 1 species
AAAGGCUUAAGUUAAUAAAACUAGGGGCCUUCAAAGCCCUCAUUGCGGCCAAGCAGCAGUCUUUA